CAGGAUGAACGCUGGCGGCGUGCUUAAUACAUGCAAGUCGAACGAAGAUAUUUCGCUGAUGCGAUUCGUCAAAUCUUGAAAUAUCUUAGUGGCGGACGGGUGAGUAACGCGUGGGUAACCUGCCUUACACAGGGGGAUAACAGUUAGAAAUGACUGCUAAUACCGCAUAAGCGCACGGUAUCGCAUGAUACAGUGUGAAAAAGAUUUUAUCGGUGUAAAGAUGGACCCGCGUCUGAUUAGCUAGUUGGUGAGGUAACGGCCCACCAAGGCGACGAUCAGUAGCCGGCCUGAGAGGGUGAACGGCCACAUUGGGACUGAGACACGGCCCAAACUCCUACGGGAGGCAGCAGUAGGGAAUAUUGGACAAUGGGGGCAACCCUGAUCCAAGCGACGCCGCGUGAGUGAAGAAGUAUUUCGGUACGUAAAGCUCUAUCAGCAGGGAAGAAAAUGACGGUGCCUGACUAAGAAGCACCGGCUAAAUACGUGCCAGCCGCCGC
rnacentral:rRNA from 1 species